GGUUGAUGUUAAUGCUUGUGGGUGGACUGUUUCUGUAAAGAUGAUGUGGUAUAAUUGUCACUUACAUUAAAAUUACGAAAAUAAAAAAGAAAUCAUCAUCUAUCUAUCCGGAUCUGAGUUGUGUAAGAAGCUUGAAAUAAAUAUGAGUGAUGGGGAUACCAUAGACUUGCAGAUUCUUAAAUAAUACAUCUUGGAAGUUUUGACACAUGCAUCAGAUGAUGUAUUAGAUGAUAUUCUCGAGAAACUUCUGGAACUAGGUGUAGAGAAACCUUCCGAUUUUAAAUAUGUUGAUGAGAAUGAUCUACAAUGCCUUUGUCUAAAGAAGAUACAAGUUCAGAAACUUUUGAAAAGCUACAAGGAAGAGAAACCAAGUGCCAAACUGAUAAUGAGUGGAUCGUCUUCGACAUCACCUUGCUCAAGUAGUAUGACAGAUUUGUCUCCUGACAGAUUCAACUGGAGUUCGUCUUAUACAAUACCAUGGGCAAAAAUGCCACAAAGUCUUCAAGAUAGUAUAAAAAAAAUGGAGAGACCUCUCCCGGCAGUAAGACGAGAAAUGAUUAGGGUUUUGGCUGAUGAUACAGUAUUUCCAAAACAUCGGGUAGACCCACGCAUAGUCAACUUGCUGAUGUUGCUUCAAAAAUAGUAUCGGAAUACCCUAAAAGUUUCCAAGACAAUUUGGAUGAUGCCAUAGUUGGUACUGGCUAUAAUUCUAUUUUAACACAACUAUAACACAGAUUUCAGAACAUUAGCAGGACUGUCAAACCUACAAAGAGGCCCAACAGUCCAAACAGUCUUGAUUCUAAUAAGUCAAAAAAACGUAAGAGAGGAGCUUCUACUUCAUCCUAUGGCACAAUUCCAAAGGAGUACCAACCUGAAUUGCCAGAAGAAGAAGAUGAGUCAACUCAGGAUUUAAAGAAAGAAGCUUUGAAGGAUAUCUAUUCAAGUAGAGUUUGGAAUUUAGAUGAUUUAAAGGGUUAUCUUGAUGAAACAUACC